UAGCAAGCGUUAACUUUUUACCCGGGGGCCCCUUGAUUUUUUUCCGGUCCUCUGAUUUUUUGACCGACAGGUGAGUAACUUUUGGGCAACCUGCCCUGCAGACUGGGAUAACUUCGGGAAACCGGAGCUAAUACCGGAUAAUCCAUUUUACUUCAUGGUGAGAUGUUGAAAGGCGCUUUCGCGCCACUGCAGGAUGGGCCCGCGGUGCAUUAGCUAGUUGGUGGGGUAACGGCCUACCAAGGCGACGAUGCAUAGCCGACCUGAGAGGGUGAUCGGCCACAUUGGGACUGAGACACGGCCCAAACUCCUACGGGAGGCAGCAGUAGGGAAUCUUCCACAAUGGACGAAAGUCUGAUGGAGCAACGCCCCGUGAGUGAUGAAGGUUUUCGGAUCGUAAAACUCUGUUGUAAGGGAAGAACAAGUACGUUAGGAAAUGAACGUACCUUGACGGUACCUUAUUAGAAAGCCACGGCUAACUACGUGCCAGCAGCCGCGGUAAUACGUAGGUGGCAAGCGUUGUCCGGAUUUAUUGGGCGUAAAGCGCGCGCAGGUGGUUUCUUAAGUCUGAUGUGAAAUCUCGCGGCUCAACCGCGAGCGGUCAUUGGAAACUGGGGAACUUGAGUGCAGAAGAGGAUAGUGGAAUUCCAAGUGUAGCGGUGAAAUGCGUAGAAGAUUUGGAGGAACACCAGUGGCGAGGCGACUGU
rnacentral:rRNA from 1 species